rnacentral:rRNA from 1 species
UACGGGGGGGGCAAGCGUUGUUCGGAAUUACUGGGCGUAAAGGGCUCGUAGGCGGCCAACUAAGUCAUACGUGAAAUCCCUCGGCUUAACCGGGGAACUGCGUCUGAUACUGGAUGGCUUGAGAUUGGGAGAGGGAUGCGGAAUUCCAGGUGUAGCGGUGAAAUGCGUAGAUAUCUGGAGGAACACCGGUGGCGAAGGCGGCAGUCCUGGACCAACACGUGACGCUGAGGAGCGAAAGCCAGGGGAGCAAAGCGGG